GAUUUCAAACCAAAAGGGCCCUCAAUUCACUAUUCAAUAAAUUGAAAGCUAUCCUUGCUCGCCAAGUUGAUUCAAAAAAAGCCUCUAUAAAUAUCCCUCUCAAGAUCACCCAAACCACCAACCAAUUGAGUACAUAUCAAUCUAUAUUUGUAGUCCACAACAUAGACAUCUAAGAUUUUCUUAAGGCAAUGGCAGCUGGAUACGGUCUUGCUGAAAUCUACGUGAUGAAGAAGCUUCACAAGGAGAAAAUGAAGACAAGGGAAGAGGAAGAAAGAGCCAACAUGGAUGAGAUUGAGUUCGAAGAGAAAAAAUCAAGUGGGUGUUUCUUCUGGGCUUUUAAGAAAAUUCAUCAAAGCAAUUCUCCUCAGAUAAUCGAUGUUCCUAGAAAAGAACUGGAAACUUGGGAUUAUAAUAAAGGUCGAUAACUAUAUACAUUGGCAACUAUGUUGUGGUGUAUAGAUUAGCAUUGGCAGGUGCAUUAUUGGAAUUGUCUGGAAAGGUUUCACUUUCAGAUUAGGAAAUUCAAUUUUGGUGUUUGUGGAGCAUCUAAGAUCCCAAGUGGUUGAGCAAGCGUAGAGAGUGUGUGGGAGAGGAGUGUUUGAUCUGAUUUCUUGUUUGAUUUUUUGAUGAAACGUGUUAGAGUAACAAAAAAAUUAAAGAUUGGUUACGGAGCAUAGACGGAAUGAACCACGGGUGGGUAAAGUGUCAAAAAUAAAACCACAGGUAGGCAAGUUAAAUUCGGGCUAAACCACAUGUGGGUAAUCUGUAAUUAUUCUUUAUUUAUAUACAACCCUUUUUAAA